rnacentral:rRNA from 1 species
CAACUUUCAACAACGGAUCUCUUGGCUCUCGCAUCGAUGAAGAAACGCAGCGAAAUGCGAUAAGUAAUGUGAAUUGCAGAAUUCAGUGAAUCAUCGAAUCUUUGAACGCACCUUGCGCCCCUUGGUAUUCCGAGGGGCACACCUGUUUGAGUGUCGUG